ACAUACGUAGCUCAAUUAGAAGAGCACUCGCUUUCGGAGCGGGAAGUUGCCGGUGCGAAUCCGGUCGUAACUU
rnacentral:tRNA from 1 species